AUCAUAAAAGAAAGUUUAGGGAAUAUUUUAAUCAUAAUCCAAAAAUAUAAAGAUCAAAAAUGGCUAUCAUAAUAAAGACUUUAGUCACAUUUGUUUUUACUAUACUCUUCGUAGUAUCUUCUGUUCAUUGUGAUACUAUAGUUACCGCUGAUGCUCCAGUUUAUGGAGGAAAGAAUGACGUCUGCGUCAACAUCGAUAAACCGUGUGAAAAAGCUGGCGGUGUGUUAAAAGCUUGCGAUGACUUUUGUACGAAACAUUAUCUUGUUGGCGGAUAUUGUAAUGGUCUAGGAAAAUGUUGUUGUAUAACUGAAGUAUGAAAUCAUCUUAUGAGAUUGAAACAAAAGCAAAAUAAAUAAAUAUAUCAGAUUGAAAC